rnacentral:misc_RNA from 1 species
GGAAGGAUCAUUCACACAAAAACAACAACACAUUUGGUGAACCUGCUUGCACACCUCACCGUGUGUAGGACUUAAAACAUAUGUUGGUAUCUCUAUAUUCAAUCAUUCAAUACAAUGGAUGAUAUGAUUAACAAGACUUGAAAAAGCUAUUACAAACUAUCAGCGAUGGAUGUCUUGGCUCCCACAACGAUGAAGGACGCAGCAAAAUGUGAUAAGCAUUGUGAAUUGCAGAAUUCUUAGAAUCAAUAGAACGCUGAACGCAUACGGCACUGUGGCUUGCCACAGUAGGUCUGUUUCAGAGUCAAUUACGAUCUCUCUAACUAUCUAUGAUAGAUAGAUAGAGUGGCAAUGUACUGCUUGACGUUUGUUAAAUUGUUUGGCAGUCGCAGAGUUCUAUGAUCAUUUCAUCAAAACAAGACAAAUUCAAUCUUUUGAGCGAACUGUUGUUGAUUGAUGGAAGCUAGAGCAUCAUAGCACACUUUCAAAGAUAUGACCUGAAAUCAGACCAGGCUACCCGCUGGACUUAAGCAUAUUAUUAAGCGGAGGAAAAGAAAAUAACUAUGAUUCCCCUAGUAGAGGCGAUUGAACAGGGAAGAGCACAAAAUGUAAAUCUCAGCGCAAGCUGCGAAUUGUAGUCUCAAGUCAUUAUACCAGUACUGAUGUAAGGUUAAUUUCUCUGGAGUGAGGAACCAUAGAGGGUGAGAGUCCCGUCUUGCUUUACAUUGAUCUCAGUGCGUACAGUUGGUGAAUCAAAGAGUCGCGCUCCUUGGGAAUGGAGCGCUAAGUGGGUGGUAAAUGUCAUCCAAUGCUAAAUAUUGGUGGGAGACCGAUAGCGAACAAGUACCGUGAGGGAAAGAUGAAAAGAACUUUGAAAAGAGAGUUAAAAGUGCCUGAAAUUGCUGGUAUGGAAGCGGAUUGUAUUGUCCUUGUUAGGAGGGAUGGGAUAUGAGAAAGUGGACUGCGCUUUGUUGCCUGCAAAGGGACAAAGUGUAGAUAAGCUCAUUGUAUCUCUAUCACCCUUCUAGCUUAGUCUCCGUUGGCUGCCCUUGUGUAAAAACCCCAACUGAACGUCAAACACUUAGUUGGUCGGUCGACACGAAGGUUGCUUACCGUAGACAAACCGAUGCAAUCCGACCCGUCUUGAAACACGGACCAAGGAGUCUAACUUUUAUGCGAGUAUGCUGGUAGAACACCAGUGUGCGUAAUGAAAGUGAAAGCAUGGAUAGAUAAAACUUGCACAUGCGGCCGACCAAUUGGGGGUUUACUUCCAAAGGUUUGAGUGUGAGCAUAAAGGUUAGGACCCGAAAGAUGGUGAACUAUGCCUGAAUAGGGUGAAGCCAGGGGAAACUCUGGUGGAGGCUCGUAGCGAUACUGACGUGCAAAUCGUUCGUCAAAUUUGGGUAUAGGGGCGAAAGACUAAUCGAACCAUCUAGUAGCUGGUUCCCUC